rnacentral:tRNA from 1 species
GCCAGCAUGGUGUAGUGGUUUAUAUGCUAGACUACGAUUCUGGAGACCAGAGUUUGAAUCCCUGCUUAACCA